GCCAUAGCUCAGUAGAAGAGCACCUGCUUUGCCUGCAGAAGGUCCCAGGUUCAAUCCCUGGCUUGUGAGAAACA